rnacentral:rRNA from 1 species
UAGAUACCCCGGUAGUCCACGCCCUAAACGAUGAACACUAGUCGUCGGGAUGCUAGUCAUCUCGGUGAUGCACUUAACAGAUUAAGUGUUCCGCCUGGGGAGUACGGUCGCAAGAUUAAAACUCAAAGGAAUAGACGGGGACCCGCACAAGUGGUGGAGCAUGUGGUUUAAUUCGAAGAUACGCGAAGAACCUUACCUAGCCUUGACAUUGAUUGAAUUUUCCAGAGAUGGAGAAGUGCCUUUCGGGGAACAUGAAAACAGGUGCUGCGCGGCUGUCGUCAGCUCGUGUCGUGAGAUGUUGGGUUAAGUCCCGCAACGAGCGCAACCCUCGUCCUUAGUUGCCAGCAGGUUAAGCUGGGCACACUAAGGAGACUGCCUUCGUAAGGAGGAGGAAGGUGAGGACGACGUCAAGUCAUCAUGGCCCUUAUGGCUAGGGCUACACACGUGCUACAAUGGGGCGUACAGAGAGUUGCGAUACCGCGAGGUGGAGCUAAUCUCAUAAAGCGUCUCUCAGUUCGGAUUGUUCUCUGCAACUCGAGAGCAUGAAGCUGGAAUCACUAGUAAUCGUAGAUCAGCAAUGCUACGGUGAAUACGUUCCCGGGUCUUGUACUCACCGCCCGUCACACCAUGGGAGUUGAUUUCACCCGAAAUUGGGAAGCUAACCUUCGGGGGGCUACCACUUACGGUGGAAUUAGCGACUGGGGUGAAGUCGUAACAAGGUA